AAUGAACGCUGGCGGCAUGCCUUACACAUGCGAGUCGAACGGCAGCAUGACAUAGCUUGCUCGGUUGUUGGCGAGUGGCGCACGGGUGAGUAAUGCAUCGGAACGUGCCUUUUAGUGGGGGAUAACGUAGCGAAAGUUACGCUAAUACCGCAUAUUCUCUGAGGAGGAAAGCAGGGGACCUUCGGGCCUUGUGCUAGACGAGCGGCCGAUGUCGGAUUAGCUAGUUGGUGAGGUAAAGGCUCACCAAGGCAACGAUCCGUAGCGGGUCUGAGAGGAUGAUCCGCCACACUGGAACUGAGACACGGCCCAGACUCCUACGGGAGGCAGCAGUGGGGAAUUUUGGACAAUGGGCGCAAGCCUGAUCCAGCCAUGCCGCGUGAGUGAAGAAGGCCUUCGGGUUGUAAAGCUCUUUUGGCUGGGAAGAAAUCGCACCCUCUAAUACAGGGUGUGGAUGACGGUACCAGCAUAAGAAGCACCGGCUAACUACGUG
rnacentral:rRNA from 1 species